rnacentral:rRNA from 1 species
AAUGAACGUUAGCGGCGUGCCUGAUGCAUGCAAGUCGAACGCCCCGAUUUUCGCAAGAUUUAUCGGGGAGUGGCGAACGGCUGAGUAACGCGUAAGUAACCUACCUUCAAGUGGGGGAUAACCUGCCGAAAGGCAGGCUAAUACCGCAUGUGUCGGUAAGCGUAAGGUUUACCGGUAAAGCUUCACGCGCUUGAGGAUGGGCUUGCGUCCGAUUAGCUAGUUGGUAGGGUAAUGGCCUACCAAGGCGAUUAUCGGUAGCUGGUCUGAGAGGAUGAUCAGCCAGACGGGGACUGAGACACGGCCCUGACACCUACGGGUGGCAG